rnacentral:rRNA from 1 species
AUUGAACGCUGGCGGCAGGCCUAACACAUGCAAGUCGAACGAGUGGCGGACUGGUGCGUAAUGUCUGGGAAACUUCCUGAGGGAGGGGGAUAACUACUGGAAACGGUAGCUAAUACCGCAUACCAUCGGAUGUGCCCAGAUGGGAUUAGCUAGUAGGUGGGGUAAAGGCUCACCUAGGCGACGAUCCCUAGCUGGUCUGAGAGGAUGACCAGCGACACUGGAACUGAGCCACGGUCCAGAGUCCUACGGGAGGAAGCAGUGGGGAAUAUUGCACAACGGGCGAAAGGCUUAUGCAGCCAUGCCGAGGGUGUGAAGAAGGCCUUCGGGUUGUAAAGUACGUUCAGCGGGGAGGCGUUACCCGCAGAAGAAGCACCGGCUAACUCCGUGACAGCAGCCGCGGUAAUAC